GUGCUUAAGCAGUACCUAUAGUCAAAUUAGAACAAUACAGAUACUAGCAUGGCCCCUGUGUAAGGAUGACAUGCAAUUUUAUGAGAUGUUCCAUUAAAAC
ensembl:snRNA U6 U6 spliceosomal RNA